UUUCAUAUCUGAAGUGCCAUUGUGUUUGAAACUUAUCAGAACAAACAUACAGUACUUCAGGUGAGUAAAGGUUCAUCUGCCUUCGUGAGUCCUUGGAGCCCUUAACCGCACUUAGAGCAUCGUUGCUAUGGGGACAGAGAGUCCAACAAACAACUUACAACGAACUUUUUAAAAUUCUGUUUGUAAAUUGAAGGUUUCCUGUACGGAUAACUGUGUUCCCUUUUUUUAUUCUGUAGUUCAAAUGUUUUAAUUAGAUUAAAGUGGAGGAGUUUUCACAGUAUGUUGUCGGGUGUAACCCUGACGAUUAACUGGCAACAGUUAACGAUUAGUGACAGCCACCAGCACCUAUGAAAGCGUGUAUCGUAAACCACCGUGCUGUGCAAGCAUGUUGUUUACGCUAUUUGGCUUCAUCUCUUGACAACCCUGAGUUCAGUUUUUAUCUGACCAGCCCGUUUUAAACAGAAGGAACCCAAUGCCGGGCAACGGUUGACUGAGGUCACACAGCUGGAAGCAGGGACCAUGGAAUCGCCACCCACAGCUGUCCACCCAGACCACUGGACUGAUUCUGCUCCAGAAUCCUGCUGAGGCAAAGGAUGGGCCCAAAUUCUUCGUGGAACAGAAGCCUGGGACUGGCCUGGCACGCGGAUUGCAAAGCUGGAAAUGCUGCAAAGCAAUGUCCUGCAAAGAAAAUCAGACUUCCGCCUUGAUAGGCAGACGGCUCUGAUGGAAGCCCCUCAAUCAGAACCUAUGUUCCUUGGGCCCAUAAUUAAGAAAGUUCGAGAGAAAGACUCUUGAAACUAGCUGGAAAAGUAUGCUGUCUUGCCGGGAGAGUUUCAAACAGGCUGGUGAUUACCAUGGGUCAGCCUUGGGGUCCAUGAGCCCUCAUCACAGUUGAUUAUAUGAAACAUAUUUUUUGUCAGCCUCGUCAAAAGGAAAUACAGUAAGAUUCAGUGGGUCGAUCUCGUUUUCUCGAGCGCAGACAAGGCUUCACAGUGAUCUGAGACUCAACUUUGUUCUCCCCAGAAGGAGAAGCAGAGUCUGUACGACCCCUCUGGCACAGCUGAGCCAGUGUUUCUGGAAUCACUGACUGAGAACAUUUUCCUCCCCGUGAACUGCCAGAAGUUUCUUGGGUUUAUUCAAGCUAAUCUGUAUUCCAGAACAAUUCCGGACGAGAUUUGUUAGGAAUACUUCAACAAGGUGGUGUUUGGAAAACACUGCAUGGAGAAAUGGGGUGGCAGGGAAAAGCGUCUCACUCUGAAUCCCUCGGGCCUGGGCCGGUCCUAAGGUAAUUGAAAAGGAAUUGAUUCUUAAUUACCCAGCACAUCGGAGCACAGGGAGAGAGCAUGACCUUUCGGCCCCGUGAAAUGAGGAGCUCGCCCUCCAGCCCAAGGAGCUGAGCAUGAAGAGCCCUCACUCCACGAGGACUUGAAUCACUUUAAACCAAUUUGCUUCUUGUUAAGACGCACUUCAGUGAAACAUCAUUCCAACUCUUCAGCCACAAAAGGAUAGCCCAUCAUUUAAGGCUUCCUGAGUGUGUCAGUUGCUUCAAAAGGUUUUAAAGAGUAUGGUAAAUAUUUUACCAGAGGGAUAAGUUAUUCAAU